rnacentral:rRNA from 1 species
UACGUAGGUGGCAAGCGUUGUCCGGAUUUACUGGGCGUAAAGCGUGCGUAGGCGGUUUGUUAAGUCCGUUGUGAAAGCCCUGGGCUCAACCUGGGAAUUGCAGUGGAUACUGGCGAGCUAGAGUGCGGUAGAGGGGAUGGAAUUCCGCGUGUAGCAGUGAAAUGCGUAGAUAUGCGGAGGAACACCGAUGGCGAAGGCAAUCCCCUGGACCUGUACUGACGCUCAGGCACGAAAGCGUGGGGAGCAAACAGG